AAACGGGGAGCUUGCGAAAAGCAGGCUGAGAGUAGGCUGUCUCGCCUAGACCCGGAGAAACCUGAUUUGGAUAAUGCCAACGUAGGGAACGCGGAGAAUA
rnacentral:ncRNA from 1 species